rnacentral:rRNA from 1 species
CCUACGGGGGGCAGCAGUGAGGAAUAUUGGUCAAUGGGCUUACGCCUGAACCAGCCAAGUCGCGUGAGGGAAGACUGCCCUAUGGGUUGUAAACCUCUUUUGUCAGGGAGCAAUUGGCGCUACGUGUAGCGUUAUCGAGAGUACCUGAAGAAAAAGCAUCGGCAAACUCCGUGCCAGCAGCCGCGGUAAUACGGAGGAUGCGAGUGUGAUCAGGAUUUAUUGGGUUUAAAGGGUGCGUAGGCGGAAUGCCAAGUCAGCGGGAAAAUCGCGGGGCUCAACCUCGCUCCGCCGUUGAAACUGGCGUUCUUGAGUGGGCGAGAAGUAUGCGGAAUGCGAGGUGUAGCGGUGAAAUGCAUAGAUAUCACGCAGAACUCCGAUUGCGAAGGCAGCAUACCGGCGCCCAACUGACGCUGAAGCACGAAAGCGUGGGUAUCGAACAGGAUUAGAUACCCUUGUAGUC